rnacentral:rRNA from 1 species
GACGGAGGGUGCAAGCGUUGCUCGGAAUCACUGGGCGUAAAGGGUGCGUAGGCGGUCUCGCAAGUCUGGCGUGAAAGCCCAAGGCUCAGCCUUGGAAGUGCGCUCGAAACGGCGAGGCUGGAGUGCCGGAGGGGAGAGUGGAAUUCCCGGUGUAGCGGUGAAAUGCGUAGAGAUCGGGAGGAAUACCGGUGGCGAAAGCGGCAUCCUGGACCAUUACUGACGCUGAGGCGCGAAAGCUAGGGGAGCAAACGGG